UGUGUUGGAGCAGGGUUAAAACUAAACUGUGCAGGGCUUUGGCCCUCCAGGAAUUGAGUUUGACACCCCUGAUCUACUAUGUGUUGGGCGCUCAAUAGAGAAGAAUUAAACGCCUUGCCAAUAGUGUGGUGAAAGCAAUUAGUCUGAAUAUUUCUUCUUUAAGCACAAUAUUUUCAGGGGUUCCAAAAAUUGCCAAUAGGGCUUCGGGUUUAAAAAGGAAACCAUACAUGAAACUAACAAUUUAAAACAUAUAUUUUCAAAACCUACCUAGAUUUGGGCUGAACACAAACAUGUGGGCGGUUGUGGCUGGGGAAUUUCCUGUUACUUUUUAAAAGAAUUGUACUGAAAUCAAACUUCUGAAGACUUGUUUUAUUUCUGUUGUUGGUUUUAGUUAAGACAUGGUGAAUGUAAAAAAUAUUUUGAGGUUCUGUCCUCAGCAAAUUACAAUCAUACACUGAUCUCAUUGAUAAGGAAUUAAUUGUGUCCUUUGCUUUAAAUUUGACUACAACUGAGAGGCUGAAACAUGUUUCAACUGCAGCAUUACACCAGAGAUUACUCAAGAGUUUUUUUGAGUCACUUAGGAAAUGCUGGAGAUUCUUACUUCAGACAGAUAAUACCAGCGUUUCACCAUUUUCUUUAUAAAGUUAAGGUGAAGGCCAGAACACACAGUAAACAAUGAUGCUGUUUAAAACCUGAUAGAAGAUACAGGAGUAAAAUCUGAGCAACUGUGCUUUACUGAAGAUGGACAAAUCAAAGCCAUCACCUUUUUUGACACCACUUUUAGUGAUAUUAACUCUUGUUGUCCUGGGAGUUUUGACUGCUGCCAUUGGAAUAGGAGCCAACUUUCUAAGAGACUGUCCUGUUCAGCCUAACAUCCCCGUCUACCUCAUAGUCUUAGGCGUAUUUGUUUUGCUGGCUUUGAUUGGGAGCCUGGGCUUACUGUAUGGUCUACAUGCUAAAGACACCUAUGAGAUGCUGCUGUUGUCUGUGCUGGUCAUCUCCGUCAGCUUCAUACUUUACCUGUUUAUAGUCUGCUGGUUCAUCACAGGGAGUUUCUGGAUAUAUUCUGUUCAUCCCCCAAGUUAUGACCCAACAACUGAACAGAAUUACUGCAACAAAACUCUUUACCUCUUUGCUUUCUGGUUGAAUACAGUCUGUUAUAGCUGCCUACUAGCUAUCUUGUUUCUUUGUAGUGGAUGUACAGUGCUUCAUAUGUGUGUAAAACCUAAUUUUCAAAGACCACCUUCAAACUCUCAGUUAGAAGUGUGAGAUUAUUUCUUUUUGCAUUGUAUCAUGAUUGUAUUUCAAGUCCAUUCAGAGGACUAAUGUUUUUACUAAGAAUCAAACCAAUGGCCUUCAUAUUCUCUAUCCUGUAUCUUCUACCAGUGUAGGGGUACAACAAAAGUAAUGUUUACCAUGAACUGAUUUGACAUAAUCAAUAUAGUUGUAUAGUUCUGUGUUUAAAUGCACAUCAUAAUGAAGACCUGAUUGUAAUGUGUCCUUUACUUGGAAAUCAUUGAUGUAAAUAUGCAGUAUAUUUGCAGUAUAAAUUAAAGAUUCUUUUAAAAGGG